GCCCCUGUGGUGCAGUGGUCAGCGCGCUCCGUGCUUUACGGAGAGACCCUUGGUUCGAUUCCAGGCGGGGUG